rnacentral:rRNA from 1 species
CCUACGGGAGGCAGCAGUGAGGAAUAUUGGUCAAUGGGCGGAAGCCUGAACCAGCCAAGUAGCGUGCAGGAUGACGGCCCUACGUGUUGUAAACUGCUUUUAUACGGGAAUAACGCGCCUUACGUGUAGGGCUUUGCAUGUACCGUAUGAAUAAGGACCGGCUAAUUCCGUGCCAGCAGCCGCGGUAAUACGGAGGGUCCGGGCGUUAUCCGGAUUUAUUGGGUUUAAAGGGAGCGUAGACCGCAUGUCAAGCGUGCUGUGAAAUGUCCGGGCGCAACCCGGGCCUUGCAGCGCGGACUGGCGUGAUUGAGUACACGGAAAGUAGGCGGAAUUCGUCGUGUAGCGGUGAAAUGCGUAGAUAUGACGAAGAACCCCGAUUGCGAAGGCAGCUUGCUGCAGCGGAACUGACGCUGAUGCUCGAAAGCGUGGGUAUCGAACAGGAUUAGAUACCCCUGUAGUC